AAUGAACGCUGGCGGCGUGCCUAACACAUGCAAGUCGUACGAGAAAGGGGCUUCGGCCCUGAGUAGAGUGGCGCACGGGUGAGUAACGCGUGGGUAAUCUGCCCUUGGAUUUGGAAUAACUCCGCGAAAGUGGAGCUAAUACCGGAUAGUCUGGCUUUUUAACGAAGUCGGUAAAGGAUGCCUCUGCAUAUGCAUUCGUCCGAGGAUGAGCCCGCGUCUCAUUAGCUAGUUGGUAGGGUAAUGGCCUACCAAGGCAACGAUGAGUAGCUGGUCUGAGAGGAUGAUCAGCCACACUGGAACUGAAACACGGUCCAGACUCCUACGGGAGGCAGCAGUGGGGAAUAUUGCGCAAUGGGCGAAAGCCUGACGCAGCAACGCCGUGUGAGGGAUGAAGGCUUUCGGGUCGUAAACCUCUGUCGGAAGGGAAGAACGGGCAUUGGUCUAAUAGGCCUUUGUUUUGACGGUACCUUUAGAGGAAGCACCGGCUAACUCCGUG
rnacentral:rRNA from 1 species